rnacentral:rRNA from 1 species
UACGAAGGGGGCGAGCGUUGUUCGGAUUUACUGGGCGUAAAGGGCGCGUAGGCGGCCGAUCAAGUCAGAUGUGAAAGUCCUGGGCUUAACCUGGGGACUGCAUUUGAUACUGAUUGGCUUGAAUGCAGGAGAGGAUAGCGGAAUUCCCAGUGUAGAGGUGAAAUUCGUAGAUAUUGGGAAGAACACCGGUGGCGAAGGCGGCUAUCUGGACUGUGAUUGACGCUGAGGCGCGAAAGCGUGGGGAGCAAACAGG